rnacentral:tRNA from 1 species
AUGUAGUUCAGUGGUAGAACACUUGCUUAGCAUGCAUGAGGUCCUGGAUUUGAUCUUCAGCAU